rnacentral:rRNA from 1 species
AUACGGAGGGUGCAAGCGUUAUUCGGAAUCACUGGGCGUAAAGGACGCGUAGGCGGGUUGGCAAGUCAGAUGUGAAAUCCUACAGCUUAACUGCAGAACUGCAUUUGAAACUGCUAACCUAGAGUAUGGGAGGGGGAGAUGGAAUUAGUGGUGUAGGGGUAAAAUCCGUAGAUAUCACUAGGAAUACCGAAAGCGAAGGCGAUCUCCUGGAACAUAACUGACGCUAAGGCGUGAAAGCGUGGGGAGCAAACAGGAUUAGAAACCCUAGUAGUCC